CUCUUUUUAUUUCCUGUUUUAGCUCUCGAAGUCCCUUUUAGCUCUCGAAGUCACCUACGACUUCGAGAGCUUGUGCCUGUCUUUUAAAAUAGAACCAAUGUGUUUGGUGUUCUAUAGGUUCUUACUGGCCAAUAUACCAUCAGCUCAACAAAUAGCUCCAUUCCUAAGGGAAUUAGCUAAUCUUAUCUACCACAACUCAUACUUCUGUUUCAGAGAAAGGUUUUACCACCAGACCACAGGAAGUCCAAUGGCGGGCCCUCUGACUGAAAUAUUCUUGAGGAAUGUAGAAGACCCAAUCCUCCAAAAGUUGAGCCAAGCAUCAAAGUAUAUCUUAGAUAUGUGGAUGACAUCUCCACCCUGUGG
rnacentral:lncRNA from 1 species